rnacentral:rRNA from 1 species
UGCCAGCAGCCGCGGUAAUACGGGGGGAGCAAGCGUUAUUCGGAAUCACUGGGCGUAAAGGGUGCGUAGGCGUCCUAAUAAGUCUCUUGUGAAAGCCCACGGCUCAACCGUGGAACUGCAGGGGAAACUGUUAGGAUAGAGUGCGGAAGAGGUAAGUGGAAUUUCUGGUGUAGGGGUAAAAUCCGUAGAGAUCAGAAGGAAUACCAACGGCGAAGGCAACUUACUGGGACGUCACUGACGCUGAGGCACGAAAGCGUGGGGAGCAAACAGGAUUAGAAACCCCCGUAGUCC